UACAGAGGGGGCAAGCGUUGUUCGGAAUUACUGGGCGUAAAGGGCGCGUAGGCGGCCGCCUAAGUCAGACGUGAAAUCCCUCGGCUCAACCGGGGAACUGCGUCUGAUACUGGGUGGCUUGAAUCCGGGAGAGGGAUGCGGAAUUCCAGGUGUAGCGGUGAAAUGCGUAGAUAUCUGGAGGAACACCGGUGGCGAAGGCGGCAUCCUGGACCGGUAUUGACGCUGAGGCACGAAAGCCAGGGGAGCAAACGGG
rnacentral:rRNA from 1 species